rnacentral:rRNA from 1 species
GGAGGGAGACACCGAUGGGGAAGGCAGGUCUCUGGGCUGUAACUGACGCUGAGGAGCGAAAGCAUGGGGAGCGAACAGGAUUAGAUACCCUGGUAGUCCAUGCCGUAAACGUUGGGCACUAGGUGUGGGGACCAUUCCACGGUUUCCGCGCCGCAGCUAACGCAUUAAGUGCCCCGCCUGGGGAGUACGGCCGCAAGGCUAAAACUCAAAGGAAUUGACGGGGGCCCGCACAAGCGGCGGAGCAUGCGGAUUAAUUCGAUGCAACGCGAAGAACCUUACCAAGGCUUGACAUGUUUUCGACCGCCGUAGAGAUACGGUUUCCCCUUUGGGGCGGAUUCACAGGUGGUGCAUGGUUGUCGUCAGCUCGUGUCGUGAGAUGUUGGGUUAAGUCCCGCAACGAGCGCAACCCUCGUUCCAUGUUGCCAGCACGUAGUGGUGGGGACUCAUGGGAGACUGCCGGGGUCAACUCGGAGGAAGGUGGGGACGACGUCAAAUCAUCAUGCCCCUUAUGUCUUGGGCUUCACGCAUGCUACAAUGGCCGGUACAAUGGGUUGCGAUACUGUGAGGUGGAGCUAAUCCCAAAAAGCCGGUCUCAGUUCGGAUUGGGGUCUGCAACUCGACCCCAUGAAGUCGGAGUCGCUAGUAAUCGCAGAUCAGCAACGCUGCGGUGAAUACGUUCCCGGGCCUUGUACACACCGCCCGUCAAGUCACGAAAGUCGGUAACACCCGAAGCCGGUGGCCUAACCCUUGGGGGGGAGCC